GCCCGGAGAUGGACUCUGAAACACGAGUCCGGCCCUACGGGGCGCAGCUGGCGCGAAAACUUCGCAAUGCGGAUACUGUGACGAGGGAACUCCAAGUGUCCAUGCAUUGCAUGGACUGUUUGCCAGCCUAAAAAGCUGGUAAAGUAAGGGGUGGGAAAGACCGGUGCCAGCCGCCGCGGUAACACCGGCACAUCAAGUGGUAGCCACUAUUAAUUGGGCCUAAAGCGUUUCGUAAUCCGGCUUG
rnacentral:rRNA from 1 species